rnacentral:lncRNA from 1 species
AUGUCUGCUCUCCAUGACAGAUGGUGCUGGGCUGUUCUAGAAAUUGUCCCGCAGAUGUCUAUACAGAGGGUUUUGAAGGUUGGGGUGAACACCACCAGCGAUAUGAUGUCUGAGUCCUCUGCAACAGGCUACACCCUGAUCUUCUCCAAUAUCUCCCUGGAGGCGUCAGAAAAAGCAGGAGAAAUUGCAGCAAUCCCACUAACAAAGAUAAUCAGUCUGAAGUAUCACCACUUCUCGUGGGUAGCGGAGCUGAUCCAGAUUUUUAUUGCUGUCAGUAUAACGGUGUCCUUUCUGGUGAUGGGCUCUGCUAUGAAGCACACAAUUGAUGGCCUCGUAAACUCACACUGCAACACCAAGUUGGAAUGGAUGUCGAAGGUCUGGGAGAGGACAUUACCACAGAGCUUCCACAGAUGCAGUUCAAGAAGCUUUGCCAGUGGGCUUAUGUCUCUUCUUGCCUUCGGAAUCAUUUUUAUUGUCUCGUCCUGUGAUCCAAGUGGAUUUGUGGUGAUGUUGGACAAAGUGGUGUCCUUCUCCUUGAACACGGAGGUUGGGUUGUUCUUUUUUCUGAUGCUUCGAGCCUCCAGAUCAGAACGGUUUCAACACCUAACAGUACCUCUGCCUGUGGGCCAACUGGUAUUCCAGCUUUACUGGAUCCUGCCCAUUUACUUCCUGUUCGCUGUGGCAUACGAUGUAAUCCAGAGCAUCAUGGAGAUAGCGGAGCACAAUUUACAGCACUCUUCCCAACCUAUCCUCACCAAUUCCUCUGCUUGGAAGGAUGGAGGUUAG